rnacentral:rRNA from 1 species
UACAGAGGGUGCAAACGUUGUCCGGAAUUACUGGGCGUAAAGCGUGUGUAGGCGGCUAGGUAAGUCGGAUGUGAAAGCCCCGGGCUCAACUCGGGAAGUGCACUCGAUACUGCUUAGCUCGAGUACCGGAGAGGUUGGUGGAAUUCUCGGUGUAGAGGUGAAAUUCGUAGAUAUCGAGAGGAACACCGGUGGCGAAGGCGGCCAACUGGACGAGUACUGACGCUGAGACACGAAAGCGUGGGGAGCAAACAGG